AUCAGGCUUGUAACUAUUAAGCUUCUCAUCCACAGAAAGGUUCCAAAGAGGUUAGGAUUUGGAGAUUAGCCAGUAUUUUGGAGACUGUAGUCUUGGGUUGUGAAUCCUAGUCCCCAAGGGAGGAGUCCUGGGGAUCCUUACUACACAUUGUGACAAAGAAAGAUGUUUCAAGAUGGUUGCCGAGAGAGUUUGAUACAUGGCCAUACAGUCCAUCUAGAAAACCUAAAGUCCUUCACUAAGUUCAUGGGGCUAGUACUCAGAAGACUAGAGGCAUGGCACGAGAACUGAGAGAAUUCACCUCUGAGUAUCUGCAAGGAGGAAUGAGGAGCAGCAGAAAUGUUUCAGGUGUGCAAUAUAGAGAUUCAGCAAUUCUACACAUUACUCAGCGCUCAUCAUGCCCUGGGUCUCAUCUCAUGGGACCUUCCAGAGAGAAGUCAGCACCCAUUGGGAGAACAGACUCUGUCCUCUGUGGAACUGGAAGAACUUGAUGAGGUCCAGUGGACAGCACAUCGACGACACUAUGACAGAUGUCAGAACAGGGAGCAGAGAAUUUGGAAUAAAAAUACAAAUAUAAGUA